rnacentral:rRNA from 1 species
GACGAACGCUGGCGGCGUGCCUAAUACAUGCAAGUCGAACGCACUCUCGUUUAGAUUGAAGGAGCUUGCUCCUGAUUGAUAAACAUUUGAGUGAGUGGCGGACGGGUGAGUAACACGUGGGUAACCUGCCCUAAAGUGGGGGAUAACAUUUGGAAACAGAUGCUAAUACCGCAUAAAACCUAACACCGCAUGGUGUAGGGUUGAAAGAUGGUUUCGGCUAUCACUUUAGGAUGGACCCGCGGUGCAUUAGUAGUUGGUGAGGUAAAGGCUCACCAAGACCGUGAUGCAUAGCCGACCUGAGAGGGUAAUCGGCCACACUGGGACUGAGACACGGCCCAGACUCCUACGGGAGGCAGCAGUAGGGAAUCUUCCACAAUGGACGAAAGUCUGAUGGAGCAACGCCGCGUGAGUGAAGAAGGUUUUCGG